AUGCCUAAGUGGGAGACAAUAUUGAAAUAUUCUUCUGAAGCCGCAGUUGAGACCUAUGAAGAAAUAGCUAUUAUCAUACCAAGAGGACGACGUACUGUUGAGCUUCAUCUUUCAUUUCUGCGACUCCAUGGACAAGCUGAUGAUAUUAAAAUCCAAUAUAGUAGCAUCAUUCUCCUUUUUGUUUUACCCAAGCCAGACAGUCCUCAUACCUUUGCGGUUGUCACUCUUGAUCCGCCAAUCCGUAAAGGCAGAACAUUGUACCCUAACAUUGUCAUUCAGUUUAUGACAGAGAUAAUAGUCGAAACAGAUUUGAAUUUAAGCAGAGAUCUUCUGGCCAAAAAAUACAAAGAUAAGUUGGAGGAAUCUUAUAUGGGUCCAAUACAUGAGGUAUUCACCAAAGUCCUUUGUGGCCUAUCUGGUGCCAAAGUCACAAGGCCGGGUUCUUACAGAACUUGCCAAGGUGAAUAUGCAGUUAAAACAUCUCUGAAAUCUGAACAUGGACUUCUGUAUCCACUUGAAAAGGGUUUUCUUCUUUCUGCCGGAGCCCCCUAUGCUCAUUUUUUAUGA
rnacentral:rRNA from 1 species